UCUCACAACGUAAACUACACUUCAAAGUUAUUUUAAUUUGAAUGAGUCGCUUGUAGUGAACGAUGUGAGGUAAAAGUCUGACCGGAUUUAUAAUUUGCACACUUUUACAAUAAUAAUGAUGGUUCAGGGGUUGUUAAUGAACGUUGAAAAACGUAUAUGCAGCUAAAACAUUCUAGGACUUACAUUUACGACCACCUCGAUGACGACAUAAAGUGUCACAUCUGACCCAUAUUACUCAAACGCUGCGAUACUCGGUAACAGCUUCCGGUUGUAAGGCACGCGACAUCCGUGGUUACCAUGGUGUCUACGAUUCAAACAAUCGUGUCACUGUUUAUAUCGCCCGUUCUUUCGGCUAAGGAUAUAUGAUAUAGCAACAUGUCAAAUUCAAAGCAGGACAAACUGUACGAAUUGAAUAUGCAAAGGGAGAGCUGGUGUCACGUAGAAACAACCAGCAGGUUCUGGAAUCUACCAGAAAGGAGACACUUCCGCGGUCACCUGCAAGAUACCUGUGACUUCAGCGCGAUACAGAAGUCGAGUCCCGAGCUACGGUCGUCCUGGAUGGAGGGCCGCAACACUAGACAUCCAGAGAGAAGACACUUUGAAGAGAGCUAUAAAGAUCAUCUGGUGUAAAGACCUGCAAUCAACCUCAACACAAAGCAAAUGUUUUCCUCCAGAUAGUAAUAAAGCUUUAUAAUCAAACAAUAUGCAAUAAAGUGCUUUAUUUUAAUUCAUGUA